ACCAUAGAGUGAAUCUCAGAACAGGAAGCGGAGGCAUAAGCAGAGAGGAUUCUGGAAAAGGCUCUUUGUUUUCUUAUCCACAGAGAAAGCAAAGAAAAUAAAAUAUUGUAGUUAAUAUAUAAACCUCUGUGGCCAAAAAUCUGAACAACUGCAAGGGAAGGCUCAUUGUACUCUAACCAUCUUGGAUGCGGGCUUUGUUAUGCUGUGAUCCAUAAGGCUCUGUUUUAUCAGAUCAUGGAGCAAGAAAGCUGAUGCCAAGCCACAUCAGAGUUCAUCAGGGAUGAGAUACCUGUCAAGAAUUUGUGGCAGAGUAGCUUACUGGAAUAAAAACACAGAAUCGCUUGUAAGGAUAGUAUAAGAACAAAUGAAAUAACUCCCAGAAGUGGCCUGGAGCUUUUCCAGAAAAAAAGGUGCUGUGAUUACCUAAGGCAAUUCUUAUGCACGAAGCUAGACGUAAUUAAAUGUGCAGGAUGAAAAGAUGGCACAGGCACUGCUGGUACCCCCAGGACCUGAAAGCUUCCGCCUUUUUACCAGAGAAUCUCUCGCUACCAUUGAAAAACGUGCUGCAGAAGAGAAAGCCAAGAAGCCCAAGAGAGAACAAGACACUGAUGAUGACAACAAGCCAAAGCCAAACAGUGAUUUGGAAGCUGGGAAGAACCUUCCAUUUAUUUAUGGAGACAUCCCUCCAGGCAUGGUUUCAGAGCCACUGGAGGACCUGGACCCGUACUA
rnacentral:lncRNA from 1 species